rnacentral:misc_RNA from 1 species
UCCGAGUUGACCCCGGCAGUCUCCUAUGAGUCCCCACCAUCACGUGCUGGCAACAUAGAACGAGGGUUGCGCUCGUUGCGGGACUUAACCCAACAUCUCACGACACGAGCUGACGACAACCAUGCAUCACCUGUCCACCAGCCCCGAAGGGAAACCCCAUCUCUGGGGCGGUCCGGUGAAUGUCAAGCCUUGGUAAGGUUCUUCGCGUUGCAUCGAAUUAAUCCGCAUGCUCCGCCGCUUGUGCGGGCCCCCGUCAAUUCUUUUGAGUUUUGGCCUUGCGGCCGUACUCCCCAGGCGGGACACUUAACGCGUUAACUGCGGCACGGAGGGAGUGGAUAACCCCCCACACCUAGCACCCAUCGUUUACGGCGUGGACUAC